UACGUAGGGUGCGAGCGUUAAUCGGAAUUACUGGGCGUAAAGCGUGCGCAGGCGGUUUUGUAAGCCAGAUGUGAAAUCCCCGGGCUCAACCUGGGAAUGGCAUUUGGGGACUGCAAGGCUCGAGUGCGGCAGAGGAGACUGGAAUUCCUGGUGUAGCAGUGAAAUGCGUAGAUAUCAGGAGGAAUACCGAUGGCGAAGGCAGGUCUCUGGGCUGACACUGACGCUCAUGCACGAAAGCGUGGGGAGCAAACAGG
rnacentral:rRNA from 1 species